UUCAUUUUUGCUCAACCCUUUUUAGUACCAAGGCAGUCCUUGAGCUACAGGACUCCGGAGUGAUUUACAUAGGCAUCAGUUACACAGUCUCUUUCUGAGGGCGCUCAAGCACAAUGAAAAAAAGUAUUUGGUUGAAGCUGAUUUAAAAUGCACUACUGACAUGGCCAACAGAACAAACUCAUCUGAGUACUUCUGGUCUUAUGAAUAUUACUGGGAUUACAUAGAUCCAAUUCCAGUAGAUGGAAGGAAGUUGAAAGUUAAUAAAUAUUCUAUUGUCAUAGCCUUUUGGGUUGGACUUGCUGCCUUUGUGAUGUUUCUUUUCCUUAUUUUGCUCUACAUGUCCCGCUCUGGAUCAAAUCCAGUUAAACAGGUGGUCGUAAGGAACCGGGUAGAAGAAAGCAGUUCCAACAGCGAGCAGCCUCACUGUGACAGUCUCAGCAGUCCAUUCCCAGAUUUGGUUGCUCCUGGAACACCCAGCUGCCUUCCAGAUGACAGUAGCAUUCAUGGAAGUAUGUCAGCCUGAGUUAACACCGGUGAAACAGUGUCAGCAGGACAGUCCACCUGGCAGUGGAAACAAUUAGUACACUAGACUGCAGCUGAAUUAGUUCAGGAAAAGAACAACGAAGACCAAACCUGACAAAUUCUGGAUGCCUAAAAUGAAGAACUGCCUGCAAAAUCUCUCUCUCUCAGUAAAGAUUCAAACUCUUCCCUCAGUUAUGUCAUCCAAAAUGUUUGCUGCCUGUUGAAUAAUUCUCAUUAACAGGCACUUGGCUGAGAGCAGAUCUAUUCCUCCAGCAGAAAGAAUAUACCAGUUACUCUUUGUGUUCUCUGAAGCACACUGAGUCCUCUUAUUCUUAAGGAUAUUUCUGCAGAAGCAAUUUUCCCUGAGUUUUCUUGCUGUGAAAGAAAGCUGUAUCACAUAUAUUGGGCAGCAUAAGCAAUACUGUUUAGACAUAUUGUUUAGAAAAUAUUGUGAGAGCCUCAGUGACAUAUUUAUUUCUAGCUUUGUCCUCAGAUCACAAUCUCAUCAGCAGCAUCUUAGUGACAUCUCCAUUUGGUUGUCUUCUCAAAAGUAAGCAACAAUGGCAAGCAUAACAUCAGCAAUAAAACUUUGCUUUUGGGAGGGUUACAACUUGCUUCACUGAUUUAAAGCUCAGCAAUUCCCUCAGGGAUAGAAUACUAUUUUUUUGCAAAAGAAAAGUAAGUAUUUGGUUUACUUAAAAAUCACUGCUUAGCUAGAACAGCCUUUAAAAAAGCUACUGGCAGCACUAAAUAUUUCAAUUGAGGGUGCCUUACUGAAUAAACUCAUUAACUUUACCCACUGCCCAGAAAUAGUUUUGCCACAAAUAGCCAAUCACCUUUAGCUUUCAUUUUGAAAUGGUAAGUGGAGAAGAAACACAAAGACUGGACAGAUUUGAAAAGGUAUCUGUGAGUUACUCAGGCUUUAGAAGAAGUGUGCUUAUCGUGUUUUAUACCAAAGAAAAAUGCUGGCAAAACUACAAAAGCAACAAUUAUUUCUGCACAAAUUGUUUGUUUUUAGCUGGGGCUGAAAAAUAUUCCAUCAGAAUCUAGAGUCCUCUCUGAGGGCCACAAAAGCUUUUCCAUGAGGUGGAGAGGACAAGUUUAGUUCUGCUUGAGCAGAGCAGGAAGGGCCACUUGCAUUCCCAACCCUUCAGCUCUCUCCACCUUUCCUUGGCCCUGGAGUGCCAUGAAAGCCAGGCAGAACCAGACAGAGGUCCAAGAGAGGGUGAAAAACCCUUAGAGCUACAGUAAACUGUGUGACCAGGAUUGCAGAGUCAGUAAGGCAGUGAUAGUUGGAGUAGAAAAAGGACUGUGUAACUAAUUGCUUGUCUGAGGACAACGCAGAAUUCAUUUGAAACUUGAGGAAAAAAAUAGCAGUUCCACCUCACCAAGCAGGCAGCAGAGACUCCUACAGUGAACCAGUAGCAGAGCAGCUCUAUGCUGCAUACGGGGGAUGUGGAUAUGUUGGGUUGUGUUAACAAAGCCUUAAACCCAAGAGACAGACCAAACCACGAAGUAUGUAUUUGUAGUUGUAUUGUUUUUUAAAACUCCCUUUUCAUAAAUCUCUGAGAUAAACUCUUCUGAAGUUUGCUUUUUGAGCAAAUUGACUACCGCUGGUACUGGGCUUGGAGUCCUAUGGAGCUUCAAGUCUGCUGAGUCAUGGAUACACAGAGAAAAUGAGGAAACGCCGCAGGAACCAAAGAAAGAACGUGGACAGAGAUGUUAUCAGAGAGCUGAAGUCUUCCUUCAGCCAACCCAGAUGAUCACAGCAGCCUUCCCCACCUCUCAGAUAAAUUCACCACUUGCUAGAGCUGAAGUAGUUCCCUCAGAAGACAUAAAUGAAUGUUUGUGGCAAAGGCCAGACUGGCUUUCAUCGACAACAAAGCUCCUGCUGCCUUAAAAGGGGUGAGAAUUUCACCUGUGUAGCCUACAGCAUCCAUGCCCUGUUGAAACGUUGUACCCAUCAGCCAACAAAGUGCAACCCAAAGUAGCUCAUGCAGUUGGUUCAAAGACAUAAUCGACUCCCAUAAAAACAUUAUUCCUCAAACGUGACAUCACUCCACCUCACUCACACUGCUUGAAGUCUUUUCCUUCCAACAUGGCAGACGUGUUGUAUACCAGCAGCCCAUCGUGGGGCUGAGAUCCACUUCACGACUCAAGAAGCCCACCUGCACUCAAACCUGCUGGUGCCUACCAUACACCCCGUACUUCAGGAAGCAAUAUAUUCUUUGGGGGCUGUUGACCUUGAUGACUUCCUGUGCAUUUUGGGAGAAGGGCCCAAAAGAUGUGUCCUUGCAACACACCCUUAAGUUUCAUGCACUCGUGGUUCUCAUCACAAGGACAACAGCAAAACAAAUGACUCAUGUCAUUUGUAGAAACUCCUUGUUUUAAAAUAUAGGCUCAUCUAGGGGACAAGUUUUCCACUUCUGAAUCCUUUCCAUAAUUUAUUCCAUUCAAGAUUAACUUCUGAAGAUAAUGACUCACCAUCUGAUUUAUUGACAUUCAUUCUGAAUACACUGGCAGCAAUUCACACACACAAAUCACUCAACAGCUAGCCAACUGCGUGAGGCUUUUUAAAAAAGAUAUUUGACCGCUAUUUCCAGAAAAACUUCAUAAUAAUCUCUUAAUUGCUCCAUUAUUAGACUAUAUUGAAGCUCACAGAAGCAGUGAGAGACAGAGCCAUUUUUAGAAGUUCCCACAUGCAGAGCUGCAUCUGUUUACUGAGAAUCACAGUAUGGUAGGGGUUGGAAGGGGCCUCUGGAGACCAUCAAGUCCAAUGCCUUGCUAAAGCAAGUUCCCUACAGUAGAUUGCACAGGAAUGUGUCCUGGCAGAUCUUAAAUAUCCUCAGAGAAGUCAUGACCUCUCUAUUUUUUACAUGACAGGUCAGUAGCUUUAACUUGUUAGGUUGUUCGCAUUACUUUUGUUUCCGAAACAACAUUUAUACAUGAAAACGUGUAUGAGCAAUCCUCUCCUCCAAUCUUGAAUAUUUUGGUAUUAACAGUAUUGGAGAAAACAACAAAACAGUAAGACAUUAAUCACAACUGAGCCAUUCUGAAUGCUUAAGGCCAUCAGAAAACUGUUACUUCAGGAUGCACCCUUAGAUGCAUUCACAUCAGGUAGUUAGCCUGCAUUAUACGUUGCAAAGAAAGCAUAUCAGCAUAUUUGCAGCUGCAGUCUCCUCGUGUUACUUUCCUUUUCUGUAGUACCUUGCAGCUCAUCAGCAAAAGCCAGCUAGAACCAUGACAGCCAUUUUUCUUAUUUUAGCAGUGACAAAACUGCAUAGAGAAAUCACUACUUCCAUUCACAGAGGGAAAUAUCCAGGUGUGCCAAUAACUGUUGAAGCAGAAAUAAUUGAGCACACCUGCUUGCAUCUGAUGCACUUACUUCCAGAAACAGGUCUUAAUUAAUCAAUUACUCAUUCCACGUGGAUGAGCUUCAAUAAAUGAGUUUUCCUGCAA